UACAGAGGUCUCAACCGUUGUUCGGAUUCAUUGGGCGUAAAGGGUGCGUAGGCGGUCGGGUAAGUCGGAUGUGAAAUCUCAGGGCUCAACCCUGAAACUGCAUUCGAUACUGCCUGGCUAGGGUACUGGAGAGGAGACUGGAAUUUACGGUGUAGCAGUGAAAUGCGUAGAUAUCGUAAGGAAGACCAGUGGCGAGGCGAGUCUCUGGACAGUACCGACGCUGAGGCACGAAGGUCAGGGGAGCAAACAGG
rnacentral:rRNA from 1 species